rnacentral:lncRNA from 1 species
GACAAACGAUCCAGUCCGCAUCGCGUCCUCCAUCAUCUCUUGAUUUUGCGACGACGACGGUGGCAUCCUCUCCCCCGGUCGCCUCGCCGCGCUCCGGCUGCCUUCUCCCCCUCAUCUCGCCGCUUUUCUUCGUCCGUGUUGCCUGAUACCGACGAGGGGGGAGGGGAGGGGAGAUCAAGAGGAAAGCGAUCCCCUUCUCUGCAAAGCGCUCGAUUUGCCGGCUCAAGGCUACGUGUUGUAGCGCCGAGGCCGGGGCCCAAGGCGAGGGUGCUGGUCGCCCGCCGGGGGAAUCUACGGCCUGGUCUUUGCGCUCGUGGCCAGGCAUAAGGGCUUCCAGCUGCUGGUGGCCCCUCCCAGUGGGCGUGCGGCGCCAGGAGGCGGGUGAGGUACGAGCAAAUUUGAUGUAGUCUGAAUUUAGAGUUGUGUGUAGUGCCAAACUGGAUGAUGUACUGCUCUGAAUUCAGAGUUGUAUGUUCAUGGCCUGAUUUUUCAAUCUAUUUUCAAAACAUUAGUUUCAGUGUGAAUUAAUUUAGACUCAAUGCUCACUGUAAUUUGUGUGUGUAUAUUCUGAUAAUCUUGUGUCUGGCCGCAGGGGAGGAAAUGAGGCAGAGCAACUCUGAGAGAAAUGAGGUAGAGGUGAAGAAAACCUACUGGAGCCGAAGCAUAUGUGCAAAGAGGUGACAUGGGGGUGAUUGGUGACACGAGUUCUGCUUAAGCUAUUAUUUUCCUUGUUUAUCAUCUGCAGAACAGAGUACUUAUGAUAUAAAGACUUGUGUUUCAAAUUGUUUUAGUUUAUAAAUGACUUUGGCCUUUAGAAAUACUCCACACUUGCCUUUUCUCAUAUACAAAUAAGUUUACACCUUUUUUUUAAACUCGUCUCAGAUAUCAAGGUGAGGAUUUUUACAAGGUCUGAUAAGGAUGCAGCCGUCGAAUAUUGCUUUUGGCUCCCGAGCUCACCGGAGGCCUUUAAAUUCAAACUUCAAAUUCAAUGAAAUUUGUAUUUUAAUAUUUUAAAAAAUUCUGGAAAAAAAUGCAUAGAUAGAUGAAGGUAUAAUACAC